ensembl:lncRNA
AGUAUAUAGCAGGCACUAUUCCAAGCACUUAGCAUAAAUUAACACUUUUUAUCUGCAUGAAAACUUUGUGAAACAGAGAUUAUCAGUAUCCUCAUUUUUACCGAUGAGGAACCUGGAACACAGAGAGGUUAAGUAACUUGUCCAAAGUCAUCCAGCAAAAAUGGCGGAGUGGAAGGAAUUGUUCAGUACCAUCUGAAAGAAUCUGUCUGCAAUGCGGGAGACCUGGAUUCAAUCCCUGGAUUAGGAAGAUCCCCUGGAGAAGGGAAUGGCAACCCACUUCAGCCUUGUUGCCUGGAGAAUCCCCAUGGACAGAGGAGCCUGGCAGGCUGCAGUCCAUGGGGUCUUGAAGAGUCAGACAUGACUGAGUGAUUAAGCACUGCUGCUGCUGCUAAGUCGCUUCAGUCGUGUCUGACUCUGUGCGACCCCAUAGACGGCAGCCCACCAGGUUCCCCCAUCCCAGGGAUUCUCCAGGCAAGAACACUGGAGUGGGUUGCCAUGUCCUUCUCCAAUGCAUGAAAGUGAAAAGUGAAAGUCAUGGAGUGCUGGAGUGGGGUGCCGUUGCCUUCUCCGACUAAGCACAGCAAGGAUGAAUAAUUCAGAAGUAGAAGUAGACAUAUUAUUAAAGGAAAACCCUCGUGGCUCAGAUGAAACAAGUUCAAUUUCUCCCCCAAAUUAAUACUCUCAACGUGUUGCCUCAUCCUGACGACCCUGAAGGGAAGCUGCACCUUUUGGAGUAACACUAGUGGGCAGGGGCGGGGGCGGGGGCGGUCCGGAGCCCCCCUCUCACAGCCAGC